GACUCUGAGGCUUCUUCUAAUUACUAAAAAAUCUUGGACAAAAUUUAUUUAAGAUGCGGACUAUUACACUCUUGCAUGCAUUGUUACAAUGCGUUAUUAUAAUGUGUGUCUUCACAGUAAGUGAGAGCAGAAACUCAAGCAGAACAAAUACAAUUUCCGAAUUCCCAUUGGACCUCGGACAAGUGUUUACUGAUGCCAGUGAAGUGUUUAGGAAAGUUUUAGGUAAAAUGAUAGCAAACAAAAAGUUCCUUGGUGUUAAUUCUGAGUGGUAUUGGUAAAUCUGGCUCAAAAUUAAAAAAUAUUAUAAGACUAAA